UGUUGGAUGUUUUUCUUUUCUUUCGAUUGAGCUCAAACCAUUGAAUACAAUUGCAUGACAGACGUGCAUAAGGGCUAGUUCUUUUUUCUUGGGUGUUGGAGUACGGCACACUGCAGUUUGCUGCCUCCGUUAGUGUGUGGGAAAAACUACACAUAACAGUGUCAUGAAUUCUACGAUUUGGAGUGGAGUUUAUAGACUACAAUCUUGAAGGCAAGUUUGUGUCUUGGUGAAGUAAACAAGUAGAGGUUUAAUGCUGUACUGGUGAGAAGUGUGUGUUCAAAUGUUGCGUGAUCUUGUGCCGUGAAACAACGUGUACGUACAGCGAGACAACUCGUACGUGUGCUGCUGUGUGUUGGCAUGGUAGGAUGGAAUCUGGAAGCUGGAGUCUACAUGAGAUUCUGAUGGUGAGCAGUUGCUUUCCAUGAGACCAACAUAACCACAUUUUCGAUGCUGCCUUUGUCGAUAGAGGGAGCUGUUCACCUCUUUAUAGUGACGCGCUAAUUACUAUGAUGGGAGACCUAAUCAAGUCUAGUGAAGAAUGGUGAAUAACAAACAGGUACAUCCGAUAGUAAAAUGAAAAGUGUCCAUACAGUCCAUUUGUUAAACAAAUGAAGAAACUUUCCACCUUUUCGUCUUCCAAACUCCAAAGUGGUGGAAGACCAUACAAGUCAGUGGCAGCUAACAUGAUUUGCAGCAAACGAUGAAGGAGUUCGAUGUUUCCAGGUUGAUGUCGCCAGCGAACCAACUACUUGGAAACUUGGAGUGGAUUGGAAACGAUUCCAGAGAUGAAAUGACAGGCCAGCCAUUUUUCAUAUUAUUUCAAAAAAAAAAUCCUCCGAAUCUGCGUCUAAAUGGCUACGGCUGUUUUGCCGCGUCACCAUGCAACAGUCAUAGCUGUAGCCAAAGCCGCCAAUUCGGAUCGAACUCUUUUACGCACUAGUUUCGGUUUUGGUUUUGCAAUGAAUUAAAAUAGAGAAAGGAGAUGUAUCAAGCCCAAAUUGUACAACUCCUUGCGUGACCUUUGACACCUCGUGUUAACACAAAGUGCGCCCUCUGUGGAAAUGCAAGAUGCAAAAAGCAGUAUAGCUGUUGGAGGAUAUCACAUUACCAAGUCCCUUAGUACUAAAUGAGUGGUUUUUAAAAACAAUGUCCUGGGCGUUUUUGCUCAGACCAUUGUGCCGCCAAGUUUGAAGCCUUGUUUCCUUCUGACGUUGAGCCGGACCAAACGCCAAACCUCAAGCCUGCCUCCGUGGUUUGGAAGGGGGCCGCCUGGAAGGUGUAAAAUAUUGUUGGGUUUGGACCUGAUACCGUCGUGUAAUAAGAACAAUCCACAGAUACUACCAGGGUUGGAUUAGAACCCGCGACUCAUGCCUUCUAGUGUCCAUCCCACUGUGGCAUGUGAGAAUCUGAGCUAGUGAUGAUGUUCACAUUCACAGCUAGUCACCGUGUCUCAGCUAUGAUGUUAUCUUCAUCCAAUGGGGUUUCUAAUUCAAUAUCACAAGAGGUUCACCCGUAGUAGUUUGUUUCAGUGAGUUCCUGAACUGUUCCUUAAUUGCAAACAAAAAGAGAUAUUAAGAAAUAGAUAUGGAGGGAAAAACACGAUGUCUCCGUGAUGGUGAGAAAUAUAUUUAUUUCAAAACACUUUUCUUGAAAGGUUUUUGUUGAAAAUGAUGAAAAAUGUUUAAUAUUACGAUAAA